rnacentral:rRNA from 1 species
AUUGAACGCUGGCGGCAUGCUUUACACAUGCAAGUCGAACGGUAACAGGUCUUCGGAUGCUGACGAGUGGCGAACGGGUGAGUAAUACAUCGGAACGUGCCUAGUAGUGGGGGAUAACUACUCGAAAGAGUAGCUAAUACCGCAUGAGAUCUACGGAUGAAAGCAGGGGACCUUCGGGCCUUGUGCUACUAGAGCGGCUGAUGGCAGAUUAGGUAGUUGGUGGGGUAAAGGCUUACCAAGCCUGCGAUCUGUAGCUGGUCUGAGAGGACGACCAGCCACACUGUGGCUGAGACACGGCCCAGACUCCUACGGGAGGCAGCAGUGGGGAAUUUUGGACAAUGGGCGAAAGCCUGAUCCAGCAAUGCCGCGUGCAGGAUGAAGGCCCUCGGGUUGUAAACUGCUUUUGUACGGAACGAAAAGCCUGGGGCUAAUAUCCCCGGGUCAUGACGGUACCGUAAGAAUAAGCACCGGCUAACUACGUGCCAGCCGCCGCCGUAA